UACGGAGGGUGCAAGCGUUAUCCGGAUUCACUGGGUUUAAAGGGUGCGUAGGCGGAUAAGUAAGUCAGUGGUGAAAUCUCCGAGCUUAACUCGGGAACUGCCGUGGAUACUAUCGAUCUUGAAUACUGUGGAGGUAAGCGGAAUAUGUCAUGUAGCGGUGAAAUGCUUAGAUAUGACAUAGAACACCGAUAGCGAAGGCAGCUUGCUACACAGUCAUUGACACAGGCACGAAAGCGUGGGGAGCAAACAGG
rnacentral:rRNA from 1 species